UACGUAGGGUGCGAGCGUUAAUCGGAAUUACUGGGCGUAAAGCGUGCGCAGGCGGUUCGCUGUGUCCUGUGUGAAAGCCCCGGGCUUAACCUGGGAAUGGCAUGGGAAGCUGGCGGGCUGGAGUGUGGCAGAGGGGGGUGGAAUUCCGCGUGUAGCAGUGAAAUGCGUAGAGAUGCGGAGGAACACCGAUGGCGAAGGCAGCCCCCUGGGCUAACACUGACGCUCAGGCACGAAAGCGUGGGGAGCAAACAGG
rnacentral:rRNA from 1 species